rnacentral:rRNA from 1 species
UACGAAGGGGGCUAGCGUUGCUCGGAAUGACUGGGCGUAAAGGGCGCGUAGGCGGUUCAUACAGUCAGAUGUGAAAUUCCCGGGCUUAACCUGGGGGGCUGCAUUUGAUACGUGUGGGCUUGAGUGAGGAAGAGGGUUGUGGAAUUCCCAGUGUAGAGGUGAAAUUCGUAGAUAUUGGGAAGAACACCGGUGGCGAAGGCGGCAACCUGGUCCUUUACUGAGCUGAGGCGCGAAAACGUGGGGAGCAAACGG